rnacentral:rRNA from 1 species
UGAUCUGCCGGAGGUCACUGCUAUUGGGAUUCGACUAAGCCAUGCGAGUCGAGAAGGUUCGGCCCUCGGCAGACGGCUCAGUAACACGUGGAUAAUCUGCCCUUAGGUGGAGGAUAACCUCGGGAAACUGAGAAUAAUACUCCAUAGAUCUAGGAUGCUGGAAUGCAUCUAGGUUGAAAGUUCCGGCGCCUAAGGAUGAGUCUGCGGACUAUCAGGCUGUAGUCAGGGUAAAGACCUGACUAACCUACGACGGAUACGGGUUGUGAGAGCAAUAACCCGGAGACGAUAUCUGAGACACGAUAUCGGGCCCUACGGGGCGCAGCAGGCGCGAAACCUUCACACUGUGCGAAAGCACGAUGAGGGGAUCCCAAGUGCUUGCACGUAAGUGUAAGCUGUUUCUGUGUCUAAAAAGCAUAGAGAGUAAGGGCUGGGUAAGACGGGUGCCAGCCGCCGCGGUAAUACCUGCAGCUCAAGUGGUGACCGCUAUUAUUGGGCCUAAAACGUUCGUAGCCGGUUUAGUAAAUGCCUGGGUAAAUCGUGUAGCUUAACUAUACGAAUUCCGGGUAGACUGCUAAACUUGAGACCGGGAGAGGCUAGAGGUACUUCUGGGGUAGAGGUGAAAUUCUGUAAUCCUAGGGGGACCACCAGUGGCGAAGGCGUCUAGCUAGAACGGGUCUGACGGUGAGGGACGAAGCCCUGGGGCGCAAACCGGAUUAGAUACCCGGGUAGUCCAGGGUGUAAACGCUGCUUGCUUGAUGUUAGUCGGGCUCUGAGCCCGAUUAGUGUCGGAGAGAAGUUGUUAAGCAAGCUGCCUGGGAAGUACGGUCGCAAGGCUGAAACUUAAAGGAAUUGGCGGGGGAGCACAGCAACGGGUGGAGCGUGCGGUUUAAUUGGAUUCAACGCCGGA